rnacentral:tRNA from 1 species
GUCCAGUGUGGCUCAGUGGAUAAGGAGACGGACUGUCACUCCUGAGGUUGUGGGUUCAAAUCUUGUACAGGACG